rnacentral:snoRNA from 1 species
UGUGGCCCUUAUCGAAGCUGCAGCUGCUUCCACGUAGCUGCUGCGGUCAAAAGGAGCCCAGAGUGACAGUUUUCCUUAACGGUUGCCAUUCUGUUUGCUGUAACUGAUCUGCAACAUUUCAGGAAAAGACAAUU